UCCCGCCCCGUGAAAAGUCGCCUACUGUGGCGGCCUGCCCCCGUCUGGUUUGGAAGGCGGUCGGGCUAGCAGGGCAGGUUGCG
rnacentral:sRNA from 12 species